GCUAACCAUAGAGGUCUGGAGGUCUGUACAGACAGGCAGGAAGUGAUGUAGCUGGGCAGAAUCAGUAUAUUAGCAGGGACAAACAGGAAAUUGAACUCUUCUCUUCUCUUCUCUGUGGAGACGCUGAGCCAGCCAUCAUCAUGUAGCAGACAAGGGAGUUGCAGGUCUGGUAAGCCAAGACCACGUGGAAAUGUGUGGAUUAGUAGUUAUGGGUUAAUAAUUAAGUCAGAGCUAGCCAAUAAGAAAUCAUAGCCAACGGCCAACAGCUUUAUAACAAAUAUAGCAUCCAUGUGUUUCUUUGGGAAAGAGAAGGGCAGCGGGAUCUAGCCAGGAAAAGAAACAUUCACGUUACAGUAGGUCCCCCAGAGAACACACAGACAUCCUUAAAGCUAAAAAGAAAGUCUGUAUUGCUGCCAGUGACUGCACAGGGAACGUGCCCAAGUCAUGAAGCCCCUCACCACUCUUUUUUCUUUAUGCACAAAAACCACAUCCUGGUUGACAUUCUUGAGUUAGCAAGAGCAGUUAGCCAGAAGCAAAACCCAAAAAGCAGGACUGGUACAACUUAGGGACUUUCCUGGAUCCCAAAACUAUGGACUAGGUCUCUGAUGGAUUAUGUCUUUGUUUCUCUCUGGGCAGGCAUGUUGGGGCCUACAUGCCUGGAUUUAAGGUUAGGAUGCUGUCUCCAAUCUGAUGUUAGUUUUGCUGAAGUCUGGGGGGGUCUGUUAACAUCAUGAGAGUUAACAAAGUUAAAUAACUUCCCUAAAUAUUUGAAAUACAAAUCUAAACUUCUUUAAAUUCCCAGAAUGUCUUCCUCUAGCAGUAUUUAGUGACAACGUUGCAUUUAAUAAGACAAUAAAUUAAGUUUAGAAGAAUCAAGUUUCAUAGCUGAGAGUAGGAAUGUGGAACCAUGUCUCUGUCCCCUCAAUGCUGACAGGAGGGUUGCUAUGAGUUCAAGUCCAGCUUGGGCUACAUAGCUCUGAGCCAGCCGGGGCUACUGUAUAAAAAUGUGUCUAAAGAAGAAAGGAAGGGAGGGAUGAGAGGGAGGGAAGGAAGGGAAGAAACAAAGAAAUAAAGAAAGGAUGUUAACAUCAUAAUGAGUAUUUAUCCACUGCCAGUAUGCCGUUGUAUCUCGUACCUACAGUAAUCCCAGCAUAAUAUAAAGACCGAAGUCAGAAAAAGUUCCUAUUCCUAUGUGAAAGAAUCCAGAGACAGCUACCCCCAUUUGUAGUAAACACUGUGAACGAAUAAAUGAACAAACAAAAUCUCCAGCUACUGGACUAUGAGUCACUACAUGGGAUCACGUGCUGGGCUCAGUGUGAAGUCAUUCAUUAUGUCAUAAGUUUGCCGAGUCUCUCAAGCCUCUCUGUGCUGUUGGCCCUGCUGUUCUAGCUUCAUUUGAAUCAUUGUGACAUAACACCAUAAUAAGACACAAUCCUAUUCCAGCUUACAGUCCAUUACCGAAAGGAAGUUACGCAGCAAGAGCUUGAGCCCAUGGGCUGGAGAGAUGGCUCAGCAGUCAAGGGCACUGACUGCUCUCCCAGACGACCAGAGUUCAAUUCCCAGCAACUACAUGUUGGCUUAUAACCCUCAGUAACUCCAGUUCCAUAUCCUACAUUGUCCUCUGACCUCCUGGGGCAUGCCAUACAUACGAUGCACAGACAUUCAUUCAAGAGAAGACCUACAUACCUAAAGUAACUUUUUAAAAAUUUUUCAGACCUUGAGACAGCUGGUCACACCAUGUUCACAGUCAAGAGCAGAUAAAAAUGAAUGCUCCCAUGCAAUCUGCUUGCUUAAUAUUCGGCCAGCUUUUUAUGCUCUUAUACAGUUCAGGGCCCAGCAUAGGGAAUGGUACUGUCUGCAGUGGCCUGGGUAAGUUAAUAGUCUAGACAGUCCCCACAGAUACACUCACAGGCCAACCUGAUCUAGAUAAUCCCUCACUGAGAUUCUCUUCUCAGGUGACUCAACCGUGUCAAGUUGACAGAACUAACCAGCACACAUGCCCUAGGCCAUGCCCGGUAACCUUCCUGCCCUAGCUUCUUCCUUCUGUGACAUUACUAAGUUUCUCUCAAGCAUAUAUGUGCUUGACUCUGGAAAGUCUAAUGUGCUUAGAUCUGUUUGGUGUGGUUUUGCUUUUGGGUGGUCUCUGGUAACAGGACAAUCAAUGUUCCACAGAUGAAGAAAUGUACCCAAACACCUUCAGCUACUUCUUGAAGACCCAGGUGUGAAGCCAGCUAUAAUUAACUUGGACACUGCCACUCCAUCUGCUAAUUUCUACAUUUGGGCAAAAGUGAUAGAUUAGAUAUAGAAAACAGACUUGAAUCAUAUAAUCUCAGAAGUUCUCGAGCAGACAACUUUAAAAGGCAUGGCAGCUUUAAAAAUGACAAUCUGUAAAAGUGACAGGAAUUUGAGUUCUUAAAUCAAAUGAAAAUGUACCACCAUCUGCUCUUCAUUGUGACACAGUGAUUAAAAUGCAUAAAUAAGUCUCGGGCCAUAGAGGAGUUUCCCAAACAAACAAGAGCUGAGGUCUAAGUGCUGACUGACAUCAAGAAGAAAUUCAAUUUUCCAAAUGAUCAUACAAAAAUCCCAUAAGCCUUCUAGGCCAGUAUGCAAUGUGACCUACAAUGGUAGUCCUCGGGGGCUUUGUAUAGUUAUUUGGAAACACAAAACUCAGCAUAAAAAAUCAAAAGCAAUUGUUUCAGAUUCAUUGACAAUGCUUUGUUGACUUCAGAAUGAAGCAAGGUGAAGAGACUUGUAAAGGGCACAAAAGGGAAUGGAGUGUGAGCCAGGCCAAAAAUCUCUAUCUGUCUCUGUGUCUGUGUCUCUGUCUGUCUCUGUGUCUGUGUCUCUGUCUGUCUCUGUCUCUGUGUCUGUGUCUCUGUCUGUCUCUGUUUCUGUGUCCCUGACUGUGUCUAUUUCUGUGUCUCUGUCUCUGUCUCUGUCUCUGUUUCUGUGUCUCUGACUCUGUUUCUGUGUCUCUGUCUGUCUCUGUGUCUGUCUGUCUCUGUCUGUCUCUGUGUCUGUGUCUCUGUCUGUCUCUGUGUCUGUGUCUCUGUCUGUCUCUGUCUCUGUCUCUGUGUCUGUGUCUCUGUCUGUCUCUAUUUCUGUGUCCCUGACUGUGUCUAUUUCUGUGUCUCUGUCUCUGUCUCUGUUUCUGUGUCUCUGACUCUGUUUCUGUGUCUCUGUCUGUCUCUGUGUCUGUCUGUCUCUGUCUGUCUCUGUCUCUGUGUCUGUCUGUCUCUGUCUGUCUCUGUUUCUGUGUCUUUGUCUGUCUUUGUCUGUCUCUGUGUCUCUCCGUCCCACUCCACAUACACACAUCAAUGACUAUGAGGAGACAAUGUCCAUAUCAGCCUGAGGAGACCCCCUUAAGGAGGUAAUGCUGCAUUCUGAGCAAACUGCAGAAGGGAAUUUCAGGACAAAUCAGAGGAAAGCCAAGUUACUAAGUUUGCUUCCUAGAGCUUCGGGGUUGAGCACAGAUGGAGAGCGGGACACAGGGAGGUGGUCUUGCUUAGGGUUUCUACUGCUGUGAAGGAACAUCAUGACCACAACAACUCUUAUAAAUCAUUUAAUUGGGGCUGGCUUACAGUUUCAGAGGUUUACUCCAUUAUCGUCAUAGCAGGAAGCAUUUGAACAGACAUACUGCUGGAGAAGGAGCUGGGAGUUCCACAUCUACCAAACAAGAGUAAAGAACAUUACCCAAACUCUUUGAUCAAAUUAAGCAAGCUUUAUUUUCUAUCAGACAAGGCUAUCUCCCUAGAGUGGGGUUUGAAAAGAUACAUGGAACACAGGAGAAGGUGGGGUUUGUAUAGUGUGAGAGCCAAAGUUAAAUGCUGGAGGUCAAUUAUGUUUUCACUCCCUAAAGAGCUUUGUUUGACCCAUCUGCACCUGCACUGGAUGUGCUUGAUCACAUGUGGGCAGGAGGUGCACAGGCAGGAAAUAAGUCAGGAUGUAUGCUUGCCCCUGAUUGGAUGUAGAUGGCAGAUACACAGGCAGGAAAUAAAUCAGGAUGUAUGCUUGCCCCUGAUUGGACCUGAUGGGAAAUAUGGUGAAUUGUGGGUUUUGCCUUUUUAAGCUCCUGCAAAACAUGACUCCUGGCCUUUUUCUGGGAACCCAGGUAUGGCCCUGGCCAGUUCAUCCUCCUGGCCAGUAUUUAAUUAAAGCUUGAUUGAAAUUUGGUUUUAAAUUGUGGUGGUGGUGGUGGUCUUAUUCUCGACCAGUGGUAUUAACGAUCAUCAUAAGAACAAGCAAACCUGCAAGAUUAAGGGUUUUCAAGGGUUGGAGGAUUUCCAGAGGAAUUUUGGUUACAUAGGAACUUGGCUGAACAUUUUAAAAUUAUUUGGCAGAACAUCUUAUCUAUUCAGGUACGUUCAAGGUGUUAGUCAAACUGGUUUGGGUGGGUAGCAUGUCAAAUUCCAGAAACAGGUUAAAGCAUGGUCAACUUGAAUUUUGCAGCAAACAGAAAUGAAGUUGUUCUGAUCUAAUAACACAAUGGUUUCCAUCCUUAAGAUGGGGUCAGGUUAGUGUAUCUCUGGGGUGGCAGACUCAGGAAGAGAGAAGAUGCUGAAACUAGCUUGAGUGGUUGAAACCCCAAAGCCCACCCCCAGUGACACACUUCCCCCAAGGCUACACUUCCUAAUCCUUUAAAAUAGUGUCCCUCCCUAUGAGCCUAUGGGGGCCAUUUUCAUUCAGAUCACUACAGAGGGGGAUCAGGAGGAGGAAGAGAGAGGGGGGAGGAGAGGAAGGGGAAAAUGACAAGGACAAGACUGAGAAUGCCUUUCCAUCACUUUGGUGGCAGCAGCAGAAUCAUAAGUUCCAGACCAGCCAGGGCUUCAUAGUGAAAUCUUGUGUCAAAAGAGACACUUAAAAAGAGAAAGGGGGGUGGGCAGUGGUGUCACACACCUUUAAUCCCAGCACUCGGAGGCAGAGGCAGGCAGAUCUCUGAGAGUUUGAGACCAGCUUGCUCUACAAGAACUAGUUCCAGGACAGGCUCCAAAGCCACAGAGAAACCCUGUCUCGAAAAGGGAAGGAAAGGCAAGGGAGUAUCUGGGGGAAGGAAGGGAGGAAAAAAAAAAAAGAACUGCAGCACACAAACUUAAGACACAAGUGUGGGCUUCCAGGCAAGGAGAGUCACACCCAAGUAUCUGUGUGUGUGUGUGUGUGUGUGUGUGUGUGUGUGUGUGUGUGUGCACAUCCGCACUAGUGUGUGUGUUUUAUAUAUGUAAUUUAUCAAUAUAUAAUACAGAUUUUUAUAUAUGUAAUUUUAUAACUUUAAAAUUACAUGUUUCACAGAAAUUAAUUUGUAACAAGUCUAACGAUUAAACAACAUUUAAAAGCUAAGUUUAAAAAGCAUGAAAUCAGGACUAGAGAGACGUUAAGAGUAUGUGCUGCUCUUUCAGAGCACCCAAGUCCAGUUCCCAACACCCACAUUCAGCCCUGACAACUGCUUAUGACUCUUUGUCCAGAGGAUGUCUCUGACCCCUGCAGUCACCACAUACAGGAACAUAAACCCUCACACAGACAGACAGAGACACAAGCACACAUACACACAAAAUCUCACACAGACAGACAGAGACACAAGCACACAUACACACAAAAUCUCACACAGACAGACAGAGACACAAGCACACAUACACACAAAAUCUCACACAGACAGAGACACAAGCACACAUACACACAAACCCCCACACAGACAGACACACAAGCACACAUACACACAAACCCCCACACAGACAGACAGAGACACAAGCACACAUACACACAAACCCUCACACAGACAGACACACAAGCACACAUACACACAAACCCUCACACAGACAGACAGACACACAGCACACAUACACACAAAAUCUCACACAGACAGACAGACAGACACACAAGCACACAUACACACAAACCCUCACACAGACAGACAGAGACACAAGCACACAUACACACAAACCCUCACACAGACAGACACACAAGCACACAUACACACAAGCCCUCACACAGACAGACAGACACACAAGCACACAUACACACAAACCCUCACACAGACAGACACACAAGCACACAUACACACAAAAUCUCACACAGACAGACAGAGACACAAGCACACAUACACACAAGCCCUCACACAGACAGACACACAAGCACACAUACACACAAACCCUCACACAGACAGACACACAAGCACACAUACACACAAAAUCUCACACAGACAGACAGACACACAAGCACACAUACACACAAACCCUCACACAGACAGACACACAAGCACACAUACACACAAAAUCUCACACAGACAGACAGAGACACAAGCACACAUACACACAAAAUCUCACACAGACAGACAGAGACACAAGUAACAUACACACAAAAUCUCACACAGACAGAGACACAAGCACACAUACACACAAACCCUCACACAGACAGACAGAGACACAAGCACACAUACACACAAGCCCUCACACAGACAGACAGACACACAAGCACACAUACACACAAGCCCUCACACAGACAGACAGACACACAAGCACACAUACACACAAACCCUCACACAGACAGACACACAAGCACACAUACACACAAAAUCUCACACAGACAGACAGAGACACAAGCACACAUACACACAAGCCCUCACACAGACAGACACACAAGCACACAUACACACAAGCCCUCACACAGACAGACACACAAGCACACAUACACACAAACCCUCACACAGACAGACAGACACACAAGCACACAUACACACAAGCCCUCACACAGACAGACAGACACACAAGCACACAUACACACAAACCCUCACACAGACAGACACACAAGCACACAUACACACAAAAUCUCACACAGACAGACAGAGACACAAGCACACAUACACACAAAAUCUCACACAGACAGACAGAGACACAAGUAACAUACACACAAAAUCUCACACAGACAGAGACACAAGCACACAUACACACAAACCCCCACACAGACAGACACACAAGCACACAUACACACAAAAUCUCAGAUUUGAGUACAUGUAUUUGAGCUAUCAUCUGCUUUUUUCUCUCGUAAGGCAUCUAUCUGUGGAUGGGAGGUAGCUCAGCUGGUAGAGAGAAAGCACAGAGCUCUGGGUUCCACCUUAGCACCUCAUGUGUUGUGAUGGUGCUGGCCUGCACUCCCAGCACUGAGAGAGUGAAGGCAAGACAAUUAAAGUUAAGAAUCGUCCCACUACACUGUAUAAGAACCUGUCUCAAAGUAGAAUAGAGUGUCCAUUUGUUAAGUUACACCGUGUCUUAGCUGGGGUUUCUGUUGCUGUGACAACACACCAUGACCAUAAGAAACUUGAGAAGAUGGGUUACACACCUACACUUGGGGUAACUAACUGUCCACCACUGGGGGAACUCAGGGCAGGAACUGAAGCAGAAGCCAUGGAGGGGUGCUUCUUACUGGUUUGCUCCCCAUUGCUUGUUCAACCUGCUUCCUUAUCCCACCCAGGACCACCUGCCUGGAGGUGGCACCACCCUGAAUGAGUUGGACCCACCCACGUGAAUCAUUAAUUGAGAAAAUGUGCUACACCUUUGACUACAGAUUAAUCUUAUGGGAUCAUUUUCCCAGUUGAGAGUUCCUCUUCCCAGACAACUCUAUCUUGUGUUCAGUUGACAUAAAACCAACCAGAACACACUGUAAUGUGACUUAAUGAAAUGCCUCGUUGGAUUUAGGGAUGAGAAGGGAGCUAACGAAGUUAAAGUCAAGGCUAUAACCAUCUUCCGGGUCAGGGCCUUCGGAGUGUCCAUGGAGACACUUCCCAUCUUACACAGCUUAGGAUCCUUGGCUGGGGCCUCAGCUGUGUCCCUCAGCUGCCUCAUCCCCUCCAGCCCACUGAACCAUUUAGCAUGAGGGAUAUGUCCACUCCGUGAUGCACUGCCAUGCAUCAGGAUGUCAGUGCCAUGCCAUGACGACACCGUGAGGAGCCACGCAUGAGGCUACAAGCCUGCUUUCCAGCCCCCAGGAGGCAGAGGCAAGAGGAUUGGGAGUUCCUCGUCUACAGAGGCACAUAGCAACACCUUGUCUCAAAAUUAAUUAAUAAUUAAAAUAGAAGGAGAGUCCAGAGGGACAGAUGCUGGAAAGUAGUGCCUGUAAUCUAUAUGGCAGAGAAGGUUUCUUUCCACUCCUGGCACAUGGGGUACUAUUGUCACUAUUGUCAUCUUUUGAGAAUGAAAACUGUGCUGUGGUGGAAAAUGACUCACCUCAGCUGAUGCUUUUGUAGACACCGUGCCCUGCACUAGCCAGGAUUCUAUGCAUUUUACUUAAAUAAACUCGUUUACAUUCAACCUGUGGAUUCUUAGGAGAAAAGCCCAGUGACCCUUCUUUUACAAUAGGAAAUAGAAUUUUGUUGUUGGGUUUUUGUUUGUUUUGAUACACUGUUUCUUCUGUGUAGCUCUAUAGACCAGGCUGGCCUCGAACUAACAAAGAUCUACCUGCCUCUGCCUCCCGAAUGCUGGGAUUAAAGGGCAUGUGUCACCCCAGCCCAGCUUGGAAACAUUUUCUUAGUUGCCAAUUAAUGUAGGAGGACCCAGCCCACUGUGGGUAGUACCAUUCCUAGGAAGGUAGAUCUGAGCUAUAAAAGAAAGAUAACUGAGCAAGCCAAAGGGAGCAAGCCAGUAAGAGGCAUGCCCCUGUGGUCAUUUGUUCAGUUUCUGCCUCCAGGUUCCUGCCCUGACUUAAUGAUGAGUUGUGGCCUGGAAGCAUAAGAUGAAAUAAUCCCUUUUCUGCCCAAAUUGCUUUUGGUUGUGGGGCUUCAUCACAGCCACAGAAAAGCAAACAGGGACAGAGGUUCUGGUUUUCUUCUAAUUCUCAUCACAUGUCAUAUUGUUCUGCACUUCCUGCUUGGCACACUUAAUCAUCCACACAAGGAACAAACUGGCCAAAUUUGCAACUAAAAUCGGGAUGCCUUGUACCUGACAGGACUCUGUGUUUCCCGGCGUGGAGUACAAGUCACCACCCAAUGAUGGGCAAGAGGUGUAUUUGGGAUGCAGAUCGGAAAAGAAAUUUCAGUCCUUGAAAUGCACUAGAAACGUGUUCUUGUACUCUGGGAUUUGGUUGAUUCAUUUUCCUCAGCAUGUUUUAAUGCACGUGACACCUGAGGGAGGUGGUUUUACCUUGCAGUCCCUGCACAGCCCACGCUUCUUUGUUGGAUGACAGAGGGAUUUGAAAACUGGUGCAGGUGAACUGUCAGCAGCCUGGCUGGGCCCUCCAAGUCAGACUUACCAAGCUGGUUCUCUUCUCUCUCUCUCUCUCUCUCUCUCUCUCUCUCUCUCUCUCUUUCUCUCUUUCUCUCUCUCCUCCCCCUCUCCCUUUCCUCUCUCUUCUCCCCUCCCCACACUCUCUCUCUUCUCCCCUCCCUCUCUCUUUUCCUCCCCCCUCUCUGCAGAGCUCCCUUCAAACCCUGUAAACAUUUCCUUCUCUCCUGAGUGCCCCCAGUUCUAUUCCCCCCACUGCUUCCUUAGCCAGGAUAUGGAAAACAUGCUUGUCUUUGUUUUUCCAGAAGCCUGACCCUACUCUCCCAUGGAAGCCAAAUCAAACCCAAAGCUCAGGUAUCAAAGUAGAAAAAGAAACAAAUUUGUAAAAGGUUGGGGAGUUACUCCCAACCUGAAUCUGGCCAUAUUCCCAGACCAGUGGAACUGCCAGUGGUCUGGGAAAUUCCCCACAGAGCCCUCCACCCAGGGGAAGCCUUUUGAAGCAGAGUUGGAGCUCAUUAAGAAGAAUGUUUAAGACAGGUUUAAACAGCAGGUUAAUAGAAAGACGGUUGCUCGGGGAAUGAUGAGGCAUUGCCCAAGAAGGGUGUGGCCCUGGAAGGAAAGACGCCCCAAUGCACAGAAGUGUCAAUGGCAUAUCAAAAGCUUUUGGAACUGAAUUGCUCAGUUUGCUUCUAAGGGGUUCCCCGGAAACCCCACCCCACCUCCCGGACCAUCUCUUUCCCCUUGUAUAUUAGGUGAUAUUAGAAGCUGUCUCCAGCAGUACCUUAGAUAGAACUGUAUCUUACAAGAGAAAAGCAUGGGUCAAAGAGGUAACAUGGGGGGUGUCUUUUGCUGUAAAUGGGGUUUCUACUUAGAGUUCUAGAAAACUGUACUUGUUUGGUACUUCUGGAUAGCGAUUUUCUUUCAAAUGUCGUAAGAGGCUUAACUGCUUUCAUUUUUAAUGGGUUUGUGUGUGUGCAUAUGUGCAUGCGUGUUCACCUGUGUGUGCAUAUUCACACAUGUGUGCACGCAUGUUCACAUGUGCAUCUUAGUACACAGUUGGUGUCUUCCUUUGUUGUUCUUCAACCUUAUUCUUUUUGAGGCCUGGUCUCUCAGUCAAACCCAGAGCUAGUAUCAUUAACCAGUCUACUCCAGGGAUACUUUGUCUCCCACUUCUGAGGUUACCAUGCCUGUUCCACAUUUGCUUGGGUUCUGGGGAGCCAAAUCUCCAUCUCUUGCUAGUUUGGCAAACAUUUUCAAUGCUUAGAGAUCUCAGUAGGCACCCUUCCAUCUCUGAAGCUGCUGUACCUAAGUUUGAAGAAAUCAGUUACAACUUCACACGUGAACAUCUUAAAUGAAAUGUUAAAACUGUAAAAAACAUGUCUGAAAUUUUGAAAUUCAGUAGACAGGUUUUACUGCAGAACAAAGGUUUAAAAAGUCAGUGAACUUCAAGUUAGAAUAGUAGAAACUAUUCAGUCUAUAACAAAUGGGAGCUGGAGAGAUGGCUCAGCAGUUAAGAACAUGUUAGCAGCUCACCUCCAAGGAGUGUGAUGCCUUCUCCUCACUUUCUCAGGUGCCUGCAGCUCAUGCGCACUCACCCACAGACACAUAAUGAGAAUAUAAAUAAAUAUGUAAAAGUUAAGAAGUUUAAAAAAUAUUAAUCUAUUCUAAAACCCAUAGGUGAGUGAGGAACGGAGUAAAAUCACACUCAUAGUUUAGGGCAGCUGAGGUGGCCACACAGGCCCUGUACAAGAUCGUGCCAGUCAACACACAAGCAUUGACUGGGAGGGGGCACAGGAGCCCCCACCUCUAGGUGAGAAGCUAGUGACAGGCGCUAAUGGCUGCUAGGGAAGGAAGGCUUAGUUUUCUUUAGGGUGUGGUCCUGGUAGAUUUACCACACUCAGGGAUGGCCCCACACCAAUGCAUACAUGGGCAGUGCUAGUGGACUCAAUAGGUUACUGAAACAAACCAAAAUUACAGGAAUAAAGUUGGAAGAGGGGCAUGCGGAGGUGGACCCAGGAGGUAGAGUUCUGGAAAGGGGUGAAUAUGAUAGAAUACAUUGUAUGCAUGUAUGAACUCCUCAAAGAACAAGUAGAAAUAUAUUUUAGAAGUUAAUAAGGGCUUAGGUGCUAAGGGAUAAUAUGAAAAGGAUAGGCAAACAGGAAACUAGAAGCAUAAAAGUUAAGAGGAGAAAUGGAGUAGAAAAAAAUACAUGAGGAAUUUAUAGCAACAAAUGUUCCCAAAUUUUGUGAAAAGCAUUAAUUGCUGAAUCAACAAACACCAAGCAGCGUAAAUACAAGGAGAGCCAUAUCCAAGCAACCCUAGUCAUGGCUCUCAUUGACCCCACCCUGUCACACCCAUGUGCAAUCCACUACCCCAGGGUGUAGACUGAACCUAUUGCUUUAGUCUUUGUGCUGAUGUGGCAAAGACUUGACGUAAACCACAUGAAGAAAGACUUGCUGGCUUGGGCUUGUAGAUUCCGAGGCUCUGUCCGUGGUUGAUUGGUCCCAUGAGACUGGACAGGAUGCUAUGGAAGUAGAAGCAUCUAUCAGAGGAUGUUUUGUCAUCACAGCAGUCAGGAAGCAGGGAGUGGGUCUGCUGACCAGGUACAGCACUCAUAAAGCUUGCACAUUCUUCCAAAGUGGGACCACCAAUUGAGGACCAAGCAGCCAACAUGAGCUUUUGGGGGACAUUCCCUACCCAAACCAGAACUUCUGACUGUUUGUUUCCAAUUAAUAGAAUACAACAAAACAAACGGAAUAUGGCUUCUAUGACUGAGCAGUAAGCAUCUGACCUCUUUUGGUGGCUUGCCCCCUCACUCCACUGAAGGAGAAGGCUUGUACAUUCAUGAUACCUUUAUUCAGAUAAAUACCAGCCAAACGCGAGCCAGAGUGUGCCCAGGGGCAGCAAGGCAGGGAGGCCAGAGAGAAGGGGCAGCCGAAGGGAAAGAGACCUUUCCAUGUGCUUGUGGUCGCUCAAGAGCCCACGCCGUGUCACUCUGACCUCACCUUGACCAUGCGUGGUCAGGCACACCUGUAGCCAGCCCUUAGGAGGCGUGGGUACCGUGUCUCCCUACACUCCACCCUUUCCUCUCUCCUUCCAGCUACUUGUGUGUUGUCUCUAUGUCCUAGCCUUGUUGUUUGCUUGGCUGCAUGGAACAAACUAAAAUGUUGUUGAGAUAUUCUAUGGAGUGAAUCUUGAUACACCACAUCUUUUUCACCGGGAGGAUUAAUAUACAGAAAUUCAUGUUAUGAAUCAGUGUCUACAAAUGGCUGUGCUCCUGUUAGAAUUGGGGGGGGUGUAGCAGAGAUUCUCCUCCCCCUGGAACACAAGCACUCUGGAUUCAGUGAUAGAAAUGUUAGUUGCCCUGUGUGCAAGUGUUGUGCACCGUAAACCUACAGUAUCUCUUGUACAGGGUAACACAUGUGCAUCAGUCAGGGCCCAGGUCCAAAGAGAAACUACAAAAAACUACUUCAAUGAACAACUUUAAUGUGGAAGACUGAGAACUGAAAAACCAUGGAAGCUGGGACAUCACAAGACAAUCACUACAGGAAGCAAAUUUACUGUCAGUGUGGGAACAAAGAGGAGGUGCUUCGUUUGCAAAAUGCACAGUCUGGAACCAGGGCUCCCAGGAGGGAAGAUAGUGGGUCAGCUUGUGCAGUGUCUGAACUGCACAGAAAGCUGAUGUGUGAAGACCACAAACAAGUCAAACGGUGCUACGGCGCUAGAGAUGCUGCAACUAUCGGUGUGGAAAGGAAGACACCGUGGGGGAUGCCAGAGUGAAGCGAGGCAGCAAGGGCUCCCUACAGCUCUUCGUUCUAACUCAAGCAUCCAUAUUAUCAUAACUUGGUAGCUUUCACAGUCCAGCAACACGGGGUGCAGGACAGAACAAUGAGAUUGGGACAGAAAUUAUUGACAGUCACAAAAUGAAAAGCAACUCGAAAUCCCAGGACCGAGAGGCACUGAUAAUUGGUAUCUGAGGGGAAGGAUGAACAGGACAGCGUUUCCAGACUUCAUUCGGCCUGUAUUUCCACUAGUUCUUUUUGAGAACAAGGAAGGAAUAGAAGCUGCUCAGAUGAGUGACAAAUAACUUCAGGCCUUUUCACGGAGAAGCCUUUUUCAAAAUUAAGACAAUCUUAAAUACACCUCACUGCUUUGUCUGGUCCUCAGAAACCUUGUCUGAGCCUUCACCUCUGAAGCUUAGAGCCCAGAACUUCAGCCUUGGAACAUCUACAAGCCUGACAAAGAACACACACUGAAAGCAGGGAGGACCUGGCUAGUGCCAAAGAGACACCACAGAUGUCACGCACUUGAACUAGCCCCAGGAUGUUAAAUUAAUAUUGCACUUAGGGCUUAUCUGGUUUCCCUUGGCAACUAGACAGAAGGUGCAGAGCAGAGAGCAAGAGAAAAAAAGUUUCAUCAUUCAGGCAGUACAAAAAAAGAAAAAAAAAGUUACCAUGGAAAGAAAAAGAAAAGGAGAGGUACCAACAGGAAAGGAAAUUACCAUCACCCAAAACAGAAUAGCGACCUGCAGUGGGGAGACACACAGCCCAGCAACCGUGGGGUUUCAGAGGUACCACUGCAGCCUGGUGGCAUUCAGGAAGGAGAGACGUUAUAGUCUACCUGCCUCCUCUCUCUGGAGAAGGUCACUUUUACCAUAAACUAGAACCAUCAUGUGUCUGUGUGUUUAGCACCACAGGCUCAGUACCCAGAAUAAGACAGACAUUCAACAAUGAAUCAUGAGUAAUCAUGUUGAUGCCAAAUCACAAAAAAGUAUCUAAAAUUAUGACUAAUAAAUGUUAGUGGAAAGUACAUAGGUAUUGGUGGCACUUUGAAAAGUAACUGUUAAAAAUAACCACUGUCUAUGGGCUGUGCUAUGGAAGCAAGGACCAGCUUCUCUGACAUGCUCUCUAGUGCAAUAAUGGUAAGUGUGUCAUAGGAGUGACCAAUUGCUCUCUGAGGCUCUGCUCCACAAGAAGGAAUUCAUAUCUGAGUAGGUAACCCAGUCAAAAACUCACUAUGUAGCCUUGGCUGGCCUGGAACUUAUUGUGUCAACCAGAAUGACCUUAAACUCACAAGAUAUCUGCCUUCCUUUGCCUCCCAGUGUAGGGAGACACUGUAGCCCCAUCUCCUAGGAGCUAGCUACAUGUGUGCUUGACCACACCUGUCAGGAUGUGGUCAGGGGAGGUUCAGGAUGACUCAUGGGGAGUUCUUAAGGGGACAGCAGACACAUGGGAGCUCUUCUCUCUGGCCUCCCUAGCCUGCUGCCUCUGGGCACACUCUGGCUUAUGCUUGACCGGUGUUUAUCUGAAUAAAGAUAUCCUAACCUUACCGACUAUGGAUCAUCUUCAUAAAGCUGAUUCUGUUAUUACACACCUACUAGAGGUGAUGGCAGUUAUGGGUAUACCUACACAGAUAAAAACUGACAAUGCUCCAGCAUAUGUCUCCACAAAAAUGGAACAGUUCUUCAAAUAUUAUAACAUAAAGCAUGUCACAGGUAUACCACACAAUCCUACAGGACAAGCAGUGUUGAAAGAUCUAAUAGAAUGCUUAAGAAGGUGCUCCAUAGGCAAGCUGGUAAGUCUAAACCCCCCAAACGUAGGUUACAUAAUGCUUUAUUGACACUAAACUUUCUUAAUGCCAAUGGCAAAGGACAAACAGCUGCAGAAAGACACUGGACUAUGGAAAAAAACUGCUGAACUGAAUCAACCAGUGUACUUCAAAGAUGUACUGACCUCGGUAUGGAAACCUGGACAUGUGUUACGUUGGGGUAGAGGUUUUGCAUUUGUUUCCACAGGAGAAGAAAAAGUUUGGGUACCAUCAAAAUUGAUCAAGAUUCGAGUUGAAAAAGACAACCCUCUUGACAAGGACGACUGACAGAAAAACCUCCAGAAGUCAAAGGACACUUGGGUAGAUACUUAAAGAAAAAAAAGGUAGCUAUAACCAUCAAACGAAAGGAACGUGCCAUACGCAUACAUACAUAUGCAAGCAAACAUUUCUCUGCUGGUACUUAUGUCUGAGUCCCACACAGCCAAUGACAGCAAUCCCUGGAUGCUCCGUAAAGGAACUGGGCCAGACCUCCUGGACUGCACUGCAUCUGACUCACGCCACAUCAACUGACUCCGACCAGAGCCUCCAGUACUGGCUUCAAUCAAGUUAAGGAUUUCAACCUAGAUCUUCAAUCAAGCAAAUCCCAUCUAACAUGCACUGGAGAUAACCCGUUAGAGACUUCCCCUAUACUAACAUUUUCUUCCCACAGGACCCCACAAGGCUACCAUCGUCCUGUUUCAGCAGGAAGUAACUUGGAAGAUGCUACACCCCUGUUCCCCAUUAUUGUCUAUUAGGGUAGUGUAAGCCUAGUUAGGAAUAACUUUCUUAUUGUUUAGAGUUGGUAUUGGAAGGAGGUGUUCAAGUUGGACACCCCUUUCAGAUGACUUUAGGGCUUAGCCGGAAUAGACAUAGUUAGGAUGUGCAAUUAUAUACAAUUAUUGUAUCUUCUUGUAUUUCACCUUUAUGAUUGUUAAUUUUGUAUGUUUUACACCAUUAAGUUUUAAUCCUCUUUUAGACUAAAAGGGGAAUUGUAGGGAGAUCCUGUAGCCCCACCUCCUAGGAGCUAGGUACAGGUGUGCUUGACUAUGCCUGUCAGGGUGUGGUCAGGGGAGGUUCAGGGUGACUCAUGGGGAGUUCUUAAGGGGGCAGCAGACACAUGGGAGCCCUUCUCUCUGGCCUCCCUAGCCUGCUGCCUCUGGGCAUGCUCUGGCUUAUGCUUGGCCGCUGUUUAUCUGAAUAAAGAUAUUUUAACCUUACCGACUAUGGAUAGUCUUCGUUCUCGUUAUAUCCCAGUGCCA
rnacentral:lncRNA from 1 species